CUGAGUUGGCUCCAAACUUAAGAUGCUCAAUAUCAGAAUUAUUUUGCAUUGAUUUAAAAUAAAAC
rfam:Otolemur garnettii contig165218, whole genome shotgun sequence.